UACGGGGGGGGCAAGCGUUGUUCGGAAUUACUGGGCGUAAAGGGUGCGUAGGUGGGCAGGUAAGUCAGUGGUGAAAUCUCCGAGCUUAACUCGGAAACUGCCGUUGAUACUAUUUGUCUUGAAUAUUGUGGAGGUAAGCGGAAUAUGUCAUGUAGCGGUGAAAUGCUUAGAUAUGACAUAGAACACCAAUUGCGAAGGCAGCUUACUACACAACGAUUGACGCUGAGGCACGAAAGCGUGGGGAUCAAACAGG
rnacentral:rRNA from 1 species